rnacentral:rRNA from 1 species
AUACGUAGGGGGCGAGCGUUGUCCGGAAUGAUCGGGCGUAAAGGGCGCGUAGGCGGCGCGGUAAGUCUGGAGUGAAAGUCCUGCUUUCAAGGUGGGAAUUGCUUUGGAUACUGCCGCGCUUGAGUGCAGGAGAGGUUAUCGGAAUUCCCGGUGUAGCGGUGAAAUGCGUAGAGAUCGGGAGGAACACCAGUGGCGAAGGCGGGUAACUGGACUGCAACUGACGCUGAGGCGCGAAAGUGUGGGGAGCAAACAGGAUUAGAUACCCUGGUAGUCCACACUGUAAACGAUGAAUGCUAGGUGUAAGAGGUAUCGACCCCUUUUGUGCCGGAGUCAACACAAUAAGCAUUCCGCCUGGGGAGUACGGCCGCAAGGUUGAAACUCAAAUGAAUUGACGGGG